rnacentral:rRNA from 1 species
UACAGAGGGUGCAAGCGUUGUUCGGAAUUAUUGGGCGUAAAGCGCGUGUAGGCGGCUUGGCAAGUCGGGUGUGAAAGCCCUCAGCUUAACUGAGGAAGUGCGCCCGAAACUGCUGGGCUUGAGUGCCGGAGAGGGUGGCGGAAUUCCCCAAGUAGAGGUGAAAUUCGUAGAUAUGGGGAGGAACACCGGUGGCGAAGGCGGCCACCUGGACGGUGACUGACGCUGAGACGCGAAAGCGUGGGGAGCAAACAGG